CUGGUGGGGUUUGGUGCUCCUGGAGGGGAGGGCAGGAGGGGAUUGUGGAUGUUGGGGUGUCCCGAGGAUCCUAGGCUGCUGUGUAUGGGAGUGUGGGGUGGGCAGGAGGCAGGUGAGGGGUUUCAGAGGAGGGUUCAUGGGGGUACCUGAGAUUGGGAGCUCAUCACCAUGCCCAUCCCGAUGGCGGCACAGGGUGUUGUCCCCUCCCUGGUGACAUUCUUCAGUUCCCUUGAGCUGCUGGACACUACGAUGGAGGAUUAUGUGGUGGUCCUCUCAGCAGUGCCUCCAGCCUCCUGUGGCAGCCGAGGCAUCAGGCCCAACACAGUGAUGAGUGAUGCAGGCUCCGCUUGGUUUGGCCGACCCCCGGGCUGUCGGGCAGGGGAAGAACUUCAAUGCUGUCUGCCAGCACCUGUCAGCAUGCCUGUACUAGGUCACAAGAAUGGCCACCACCAAUGUCUGUCUCUGGAGACGUCUCACCUCUCACAGAGACACACCCAGAGCCUACCAGGUGAGUCUCUUUUCACCAAAGGACUGUGCAGCUUUCUUUUUGGUGAUUUUAGGUUUCUCUCUGAUAUGGCUGAAUUUGUGCCUGGGCCCUUUAAGACCCUGUGUUUUCCUGCUUUCAUCUGAUAGCUUUUCUGGGGGUAUUGCCCCAUUGCAGUUAAUAGACAGCCAAGCCAAAUAGUAGGGCACUCAUCUCAGUUGUGCUGAGUCU
rnacentral:lncRNA from 1 species